rfam:Mus musculus chromosome 11, GRC primary reference assembly.
CGUGUUAUAGCUCAGUGGAAGAGCAUCUGCCUGGCAUGCACAGGCCCUGGGUUUGAUACCCAGCACCACCA